UGCAAGUCGAACGGUAAGGCUCCUUCGGGAGCACACGAGUGGCGAACGGGUGAGUAACACGUGAGCAACCUGCCCUUGACUUCGGAAUAACAGCUGGAAACAGCUGCUAAUACCGGAUACGACUCAUUUCCUCAUGGAAGUGAGUGGAAAGCUCCGGCGGUCAAGGAUGGGCUCGCGGCCUAUCAGCUAGUUGGUGAGGUAACGGCUCACCAAGGCUUCGACGGGUAGCCGGCCUGAGAGGGCGACCGGCCACACUGGGACUGAGAUACGGCCCAGACUCCUACGGGAGGCAGCAGUGGGGAAUAUUGCACAAUGGGCGAAAGCCUGAUGCAGCAAUGCCGCGUGCGGGAUGACGGCCUUCGGGUUGUAAACCGCUUUCAGCACCGACGAAGCGCAAGUGACGGUAGGUGCAGAAGAAGGACCGGCUAACUACGUGCCAGCAGCCGCGGUGAUACGUAGGGUCCGAGCGUUGUCCGGAAUUAUUGGGCGUAAAGGGCUCGUAGGCGGUCCGUCACGUCAGAAGUGAAAACUCAGGGCUCAACCCUGAGCCUGCUUUUGAUACGGGCGGACUAGAGGUAUGCAGGGGAGAAUGGAAUUCCUGGUGGAGCGGUGGAAUGCGCAGAUAUCAGGAGGAACACCAGUGGCGAAGGCGGUUCUCUGGGCAUUACCUGACGCUGAGGAGCGAAAGCGUGGGGAGCAAACAGGCUUAGAUACCCUGGUAGUCCACGCCGUAAACGGUGGGCACUAUGUGUGGGGAACAUUCCACGUUCUCCGUGCCGUAGCUAACGCAUUAAG
rnacentral:rRNA from 1 species